UGGUCCGUACGAUGUGUAUCAUCAGGUAACGUACAAAAUUGUAAAUGAAGGCUUCGUACUGCAUUGUUGAAAAAGCAUGAAUAUUUUCAAAUCACAAAAUAUGAGGGUCCUCACACUUGUUUGUUUACGAGAUUGAGUCGAGACUACAAACAUAUCAGUAGAAGGAUGAUUGACACACUAAUCCGACAUAUUAUUAAGAAG
rnacentral:lncRNA from 1 species